GUGGCCUUUUAGCUCCCUGUCCCGCGCUAGGAAUGUGUGUUUAUUUUGUUUCAUCGCCUGAUGCUGUUGAUGAUCAUAUAAGGCGGGCAGGCUGCUUAGGUGUUGGUUUCAUCCGUAUGAUUAAGUCCCUGUCGUCGCUGUGUGGGCCGGCCGCCCGGGAGAUGUUAAUGUGUGUAUAUAUCGAUUUAAUUUAAUACAGUAAUAAUCUUCGUAGUGGGCAUAUCUUCUUCUUUUUUUUGGAUAUUAGCAUCUAGUCAUCCAUCGCUUGCUGAAUGCUGAUUGAGCUGGUUUCCUGUUCCAACUAUAUAUAUGUAUGCAAAACUUAUACACUAGGAAGCAAGAUACGUGGGUGGGUCAGAUGUGGAAAUUCCAUGCUGCCGACCUACCGGCACGUGGUGAUGAUCAGGGAGGGAACAAGUACUCCCAAUACUCUUGUAAAUUUAGUUAUGACUCAAACUUUUUACAACGUAUAUAGUAAUAAUAGCUCUGUUCUUUUUUACUGAAGUAGAUAAAAUAGAGUCCAAAGUGCUCAGCUAGCCCAGCAGUACAUACAUAUAUCCUCAUCAACAGAAAGGUCCUUUAAUCUUUUCCUUUGCCUAUGUGGGCCACAUAUUGUCCCGUCAUCGGUAAGAUCGGGCGCUACAGGUUGUUGAUUACUCUCCAGAAUCGAUGCCUUGCUGGAAUUCUCUUCGUGCUUCGAUUCGGCGGCUACGGCCGUCAGCUGGUUUUAUCUUUUUGGAGUGUGGUUCUACGCGACUAGCAAGACGUGUUUCCUUGAUCGGAUCUGAGCAGGCAGCAGCAAGCAAGGCAGAGAGAUUCGAUCGAGUCUCCAUCUUCUUGACAAACAGAAAAAACCGUAAACAUCGACACCAUUACUCACUGUACAUACGGAUAAGGCUCUCGAUUACCACACCACAUUGUUCUAUCGAUCUACGCAGAGGCAGGCACAAAUUAAAUGCACAUAGAUAAAGCUGAGUGUAGAUCCUUUUGCUUCCUAGUCACAGAAAAAUAAACGGUUUCCCUUUAUCGAGAAAAAAAAGGUGUAGAGAAAAAGCUAUAGCCGGCCACUAGCUAGCUAUAGAGUAAGUAUGUAGGUACAUUUAUCUUUUCAAAAUAUUUUUAUAGCCACUUGAUCACUGAAAGGAGGUUGAUCACUUGAAGAAAAGAGGAAGGAGAGAAGUGAAAGCAGGUGGAUAACGGAAUGUCAUGUUGGGAGUACAUGAUUAACAAGGACCAACGACUGUUACCUGAUAAGUGCAGAAGUUAAUGGGUAAGCUCGACCGGUCGGAUCAACGUAACUGAUAUUUCUCGGCAAGCAUAUAGUGAUAUGGAGCCAGGUAAAGCUACACCAUUGGAUAUCAUGCAUGGCUACAAUUUGGAUGAAGAAGUCUAGCAAGACAGGCAAAAAAAAGGCUGCGUUUUCGAUAUAUCAGAUCAAUCGUUUACUUUUCCCCGGAAUCUUUUGCUUCCUAUCACCUUCAUGAAUUCAUGAGAGUUCCAGGAAUUCUUCUCUUCCUUUACUUGGUCUGGUGGAUCUCCUUCACGGAUAAGCCACAAAAACAACUUGAAGCCCAUGCGUGCUCGAUCAAGAUAAGCAGAUAAGAUUUCCGUGUCAUUUUUACCACACACAUUCAUAUCCUCCAUCAUAAAUGCAAAGCCGCCGGCACACAUACUGUAUCUAGUAUCUACAUGCAUGUCUGUACCUACGUAUAUACACGUACGUAUACCGCCGGCCCUAAGUUUCUCACUUCGAGAUAUACAUAGAUGUACCUCGAGAAAUGUGCACAUUUGGAUGUACGUAGGUAGUUUCUCACUUCGAGAUAUACAUAGAUGUACCUCGAGGAAUGUGCACAUGCAUAUAUCUAUAUGGUCUCCACAUGUAUAUCCAUAUAUACGUACGUAUAUACAGCAUGGUGUUUAUAUAUAUGUGGCAUGCGAGCAUGCGUCGUGGUGUGUUCGAUCGCGUGUAUAUUUGACUUGUAUUUCCGCGAAAAUAAUUAAUGCACACGUCUAUCCCUGCUA